rnacentral:rRNA from 1 species
CGCUAUCACUCCUACGGGAGGCAGCAGUGGGGAAUAUUGCACAAUGGGCGCAAGCCUGAUGCAGCCAUGCCGCGUGUGUGAAGAAGGCCUUCGGGUUGUAAAGCACUUUCAGCAGUGAGGAAGGCGGAGUCGUUAAUAGCGGCCUCGUUUGACGUUAGCUGCAGAAGAAGCACCGGCUAACUCCGUGCCAGCAGCCGCGGUAGUACGGAGGGUGCGAGCGUUAAUCGGAAUUACUGGGCGUAAAGCGCAUGCAGGCGGCCUGUUAAGUCAGAUGUGAAAGCCCGGGGCUUAACCUCGGAAUUGCAUUUGAAACUGGCAGGCUAGAGUCUUGUAGAGGGGGUAGAAUUUCAGGUGUAGCGGUGAAAUGCGUAGAGAUCUGAAGGAAUACCAGUGGCGAAGGCGGCCCCCUGGACAAAGACUGACGCUCAGAUGCGAAAGCGUGGGGAGCAAACAGGAUUAGAUACCCUGGUAG